rnacentral:rRNA from 1 species
AAAGGAAUUGACGGGGACCCGCACAAGCAGCGGAGCAUGUGGUUUAAUUCGAAGCAACGCGAAGAACCUUACCAAGGCUUGACAUCCCCUUGACAAGUGCAGAGAUGUACCCUCCCCUUCGGGGGCAAGGGAGACAGGUGGUGCAUGGUUGUCGUCAGCUCGUGUCGUGAGAUGUUGGGUUAAGUCCCGCAACGAGCGCAACCCUUAUCCUUAGUUGCCAUCAUUUGAGGUGGGCACUCUAAGGAGACUGCCGGUGAUAAACCGGAGGAAGGUGGGGAUGACGUCAAAUCAUCAUGCCCCUUAUGUCUUGGGCUACACACGUGCUACAAUGGUCGGUACAACGGGGAGCGAAGAAGUGAUUUGGAGCAAAUCCCAAUAAACCGAUCCCAGUUCGGAUUGCAGGCUGCAACUCGCCUGCAUGAAGUCGGAGUUGCUAGUAAUCGCGAAUCAGAACGUCGCGGUGAAUGCGUUCCCGGGUCUUGCACACACCGCCCGU